rnacentral:rRNA from 1 species
AUGAGCAAGCUUGAUGGUUUCUUCUGUAACGAAGAGUGGGAUGUCGUUUUCCCUACUCACAUUCUCCAAGCCCUAUCAUCUUCGCUCUUGGAUCACUGCCCUCUCUUGCUUGCCAAUGCAUCUGGACCGAAGAGACCCAAAUCAUUUCGUUUCGAGAACCACUGGAUCAAGAUGCCUGGGUUCCAACAGGUUGUUAGUGACUCCUGGAAUGAGGAUUCCCCCCAUGGUGAGCCCUAUCAACGGCUUUUCCAUAAGCUUAAGAGAACUAGUAGGAGGCUGCGUUCUUGGAGCAAACAAUUGUUCGCUGCUUCUAGAAUUCAACUCCAUAUGGCCCUGGAAAUCAUCCUACACCUAGAUAUGGCACAAGAACGUAGAGAACUUUCUCCCGAUGAGAGGGACCUCAGAAAGAGACUAAAGAGGAAGGUCAUUGGCUUGGCGGUCCUGGAGAAGGCUAGAAAGCGUCAAAAUUCCAGAGUUACCAAUCUUAAGGUAGGAGAUGCCAACACUCGCUACUUCCAUCUCCGUGUCAACCACAGAAGGAGGAAGAACUUCAUACAACGCCUGAAAAACAAUAACGGUUGGGCUACAGAACAUGCUCACAAAGAGGACAUCGUGCACCGACACUUCAAAAACAUUGCCAAAAAGCCCCCCUCGCGUAACAUAGACUUCAAUUGGGGGCUUCUGCAUACCCCUGAUUGUGAUCUUCAUGAGUUGGACAACGCCAUCACAGAGGAGGAGGUGAAGGCUGCUGUGUUCUCCAUGCGAGGAGACAAAGCCCCU